ACUACUCUGGGUUAGUUUAGGUGAAAUGGGUCGGGUGUUUGACUAUUCUCAUAUUUAUGUUUUAGUCUCAGUGUGUCUAUCAUCUUCAUCUUCACUUUCUGUUUCACCAUGUUCAUCUUCAUAUGAAAGUUUGCAGAGUCAGGGACCGAUGGAUAUGAAUUCAUCAAUUCCAGAUGGUAUAGGGAAUUGAAUGAAAUCAUAUCGGAUUUGUAUUUAGUUGGUUAUCUGAUUCGGGUUCAAACCAAGGGGUAUUACCACUGAUUUAGAAGUUACAAUCCUAACAAAUGUAAUGGAUGUGAAGUGGUCACGGAGAGGGGGAGAUGAUGUUCGGAAUGACAUUGGCAAGGAAAGCAACUUUCAAGAUAACAUUAAUGAGAUUAAAGCCACUCCUGUACAGUUAAAAAGGGAUUUAGGACUCUAGAAGAAGUGUCAAUGCCGAAAUGGCAUCAAGAAGCGUAACACGCAGAAACUCCCUCCACUUCAGAGCUUGCAUCAGACUAACAUUGAAUCAUAGAUAGCUUAGUACAAGUUCCAAGAAUGGUGAGAUACCUGGUUAAAUUUAUACUACCUUCAAAGAGAAUUACCCAUCAUAAUUUAUGGUAUCUUGCAAAAUAAGGUACUCAUUGAAAUUUAUACGACCGUAUUGUCAAUGUACCCAAUUAAAUUCAUAGGACCGUCUAAAUGACGAUAUGCACUGCUUUCCUUAAUGAACUGAAGUUCACGACAGAAUUUAGUCACUACUCAGCCCGGCGGAGAAGAUUGAAAUUAACUUCAUUGCAUCAAUCAUAAAGCUUUGCUGUUCUUCAGGUAUUUCCGUAUCCAAAGUAUCAAAAAUGGAGCUGGUGAAAGAAGAAAGGACAUGAUGUUGGUUGUUGUAGGCUUCAACCAACACCAUCUCCCAAUCAGUGAAUGGUCCAAUGCCGUUGGUUGUGGUGGAUUUGAGACCUCUCAUCCAGGGCCGUCUUUGACAUAGGGCCAAAUGGGCGACCGCCCUAGGCCCAGAAAUCAGAGGGGCCUAGAAAAAAUAUCUCCUACCUGUUAUAUUUACUAGUAAGUUGGUAUAAUAGUAAUUUUGUCCUUAACCUAGUUAAAAACCCGACGUGAAACACUAGAAGUGGAAGAGCAACUGAUUCAUCUCUCAAUCUCUCCGGGCUCAGACAUAAACUUGAGGUUUGUUUUUAUUUUCUUUCAAUUCAAUCAUUCCCACUUCCCUCUUUGUUAACAGUA